rnacentral:rRNA from 1 species
UACGGGGGGUGCAAACGUUGCUCGGAAUUAUUGGGCGUAAAGCGCACGUAGGCGGUCCUGUAAGUCGGGUGUGAAAGCCCCAGGCUUAACCUGGGAAGUGCACUCGAAACUGCAGGGCUUGAGUAUGGAAGAGGGUCUCGGAAUUCCCGGUGUAGAGGUGAAAUUCGUAGAUAUCGGGAGGAAUACCAGAGGCGAAGGCGGCUACCUGGACAAUUGCUGACGCUCAGGCACGAAAGCGUGGGGAGCAAAAGGG